UACGUAGGGUGCAAGCGUUAUCCGGAAUUAUUGGGCGUAAAGAGCUCGUAGGCGGUUUGUUGCGUCGGCUGUGAAAUCCCGAGGCUCAACCUCGGGUCUGCAGUCGAUACGAGCAAACUAGAGUGUUGCAGGGGAGACUGGGAAUUCCUGGUGUAGCGGUGAAAUGCGCAGAUAUCAGGAGGAACACCAAUGGCGAAGGCAGAUCUCUGGGCCGUAACUGACGCUGAGGAGCGAAAGCAUGGGGAGCGAACAGG
rnacentral:rRNA from 1 species